AGAAUUAUAAAGCUUGGGCCGAAGGCCAUAUCAUCAUCUCCUAUUAUUGGAUUGGACUGGCAUCACAGCCUAACAAAUCUCCACCUUGAUGCCAGUGGUAAUACAAGAAGCCCAUAAAAAUACAUUCAACAAUUUAAUCUUUUCAAUCAUAAGCUUCCCAACAUUUCCAGUUGGCACCAAGCUUACAACCUGCAUUACAUCACAAAAUUUACCCAGUAUCAAUGUUUAGCAUUUGCAAACAAGUCUUAAACUUGUUUAGAGGCAACACCUAUGUCCCCAUAUUUGUUGGAUUAUAUUCAGUAGCAAUUUUCUCAAGAAAUAAAAUCUCUUUGGAAAUGAUGUCUCUUAUAAAAUGCAACUUUACAUCAAUAUGUUUAGUUCUUUCAUGAUAAAUUGGGUUUUUGCACAUUGUAUGACACUCUAACUAUCUGAACAAAUGACAACAGGGCUAUCUAAUUCAUUUAUUUCGGAAAGUAAACAUUUAAGCCAUAAGGCUUCCUUAAUUGCUUCAGUUGCAACUACAUAUUCUGCCUCAGUUGUAGAUAGGGCUAAACUAUCUACAACUGGUUGGAGUUGAGACUUCUAACAUAUACAUGUUCCACACAAAGUAAACAUAUAUAUAGUGGUGGAUUUUUUGUUAUCCCUAUUUCCAACGAAGUCAAAAUCCACAAAGCUCUUAAGCACUACACCCUCUUUUUAUGCACUAAAUGAUAAUCUUCAGUGUGACGAACCUUUCAAAUAUCUCAACAACCAUUUUAAAGCAACCCAAUGUUCAAGUCCGAUGUUUGACAUGAAUCUGCUAAGUCUGCUAAUAGAAUGAGCUACAUUAUGCCUGACGCAAACCAUGGUAUACAUAAUUGAACCUACUGCAUUAGCAUAGGGUAUUUUUUUUUUCCAUUUGUUUUAUCUCAGUUUCAUUAACAGGAUGUCAAUCCUUAUUUAGCUUAAAAUGGCUGGCUAAGGGUAUUUAAUAGAUUUAGCAUUAUGCAUGGCAAAUCUAAUUAACAUUUUCUCAAUAUAACCAGUUUGUUCUAAACUUAGAGAUCCGUUACUUCUAUUUCUGGUUAUUUUCAUCCCCAAAAUUCUUUUAGCAUGACCUAGAUCUUUCAUUUCAAACUCUUUGCUUAAAGAUCUUUUAAUAUCAUUAAACACAUGCAUGUUCUGCCCCAUUAACAGCAUAUCAUCCACAUACAGAAGUAUAAAAGCAAUAAUAGCAUUUUCUUCAUCUUGUUUAAAGUAAAGACAAUGAUCAAAAUUACUUAUAGUAAAACCAACAAUAGAUACAAAAUUAUCAAAUUUUAAGUUCCACUGUCUAGAAAAUUGCUUUAAACCAUAUAGAGAUCUUUUUGAGGUAAACAUGUUUAGGUUUAGAUUUAUCAACAAAACCAUGUUGUUUUUCAUAUAGAUCACUUCAUCUAGGUCACCAUGCAAGAAAGCAGUUUUUACAUCCAUUUGUUUUAGUUCAAGGUCAUAAUGUGUCACAAGGGCAGGCAUAACUCUAAUAGUAGUAUAUUUAACUACAGGGGAAAAGAUUUCAUUAUAAUUUAUGCCUUCCUUUUGUGUAAACCCCUUUGCAACAAGUCUAGCCUUAAAUCUUUUAGGCAUUUUUUCAUGGUUCCUCUCUUUAACACUAAAUAUCCAUUUAGAGUCAACAAUAUACUUACAUGCUGGUUUAGGAACUAAAAUCCAUGUUUUAUUUUUUAUUAAGGAGUCCAUUUUAUCCUUUAUGGUAGCCUGCCAGUUUACUAAUUAUUGGAUGCUCAUAGCCUUUCCAUAAGAUUUUGGUUAUUUAAAGACAAGAUCUUGAUAAGAGAGGACAGCAGGCGACAGGUAAUCUUUAUACCUAACUGGCUCUCUAAUCUCUUUCCUAAUUCCAUCUCUAGUUAAUUGAUAAUCCCCUAACUCUAUAGGCCGACAAUCUAUGCUCUCUUGCACACUCCUUUCUUCAGUUCCUUAAGGGUCUGAAACAAUUUCUGCUUCUUUCUCCACCUGCUCAGGUGGAAUAGGGUCAGAUGGAUUCCCAAGCCCCACCUGCAGCCUAGUUCCAUCAGUCACUUCAGCUUUAGUUAGUCCACUUGACUCACUAUUAUUUAAACAAGGUAUUUUAAACUCAUCAAAAGUGACAUCUCUAAUGGUGAUGAUUUAAAAACCUCUAGUUUUCCUACUCCACAGCCUAUAACCCUUUACUCCAUCAGGAUAACCCAAGAAAAUACAUUUAUGAGCCUAGGUUCUAACUUACCUAUACUCUGAUGGGAAUAGGAAGCACAUCCAAAAAAAUUUAAGUGUAAGUAAUCAGGGAUAUGGCCAGUCCAUAGCUCUUAAGGUGUUUUAUCACCUAACACACUGGAAGGUGUUCUAUUUAUUAUAUAUGAAGCUAUCAUCAAAGCUUCACCCCACAAGACUUUGGGAACACCAGCACUUACAAGUAUGAAUCUAACUUUAUCUAUUCAUCCUCUCAGCAACUCCAUUCUGCUGAGGGGUAUAAGGUGCAUUACUACAAAACUGAUUAAACUCAUUAUUAUAGAAUUCUAGCAUUACUACAGAACUGAUUAAACUCAUUAUUAUAGAAUUCUAAGCCAUUAUCAAUCCUAAGCACCUUAAUCCUUUUUCCAGUUUGAUUUUCCAUCUAAGUUUUCCAAAUUUUAAACUUUUUUAGAGUUUCAGAUUUAUGCCUCAACAAGUAGACCCAAACCUUUCUUGAGUAAUCAUCAAUCAAGGCUAUGAAAUAUAUAUCACCCCCUUGUGUGAUAGUAGAUGAAGGCCCCCACAGAUCAACAUGUAUAUAUUCAAGAAUAGAGGUGAUUAUAUUCUUACCAGUGUUAAAAUGCAACCUAUGCUGCUUAUUUAAAGUGCAAUUUUCACAAAAAUGCAAUUUAGAUAUAGAAUAUUUUCCAAACACACCCUUCUUAUAAAGGAUCCAUAAGCCCUUCUCUCCUACAUGAGCAAGUCUCUUUUGCCACUUUAAAGUGGCACCAAAUUCAGCACUAGAAGAUUCAGCAACAUUAUUAUUCAUAGUACUAGCCUUAACUACAUAGAUCCCAUUUCUUUUUAAUUCAUAGCAUUUUUUAUUCCUAGUCUUAAGAUUUUGACCUAUCCCCACUUUUAAACUUCUUCCUAUGACUUGUUCCCUGGUUGCCUAGACUUUCAUGUGUAGUAUUAGACCUAGUUAGGGUCCUAUCUCUAACAAAUAGGUUUUCUAAUGCACCAUUGUUCCUUUCAAUUUUCAAGUUCUUUACUUCUUAGUGAAUUGAUUACUAUAUCAGGAGUAAGGGUAUCUUUGCCAUAUUUUAUUUCAACUUUUACUUCCUUAUAUGUCUCAGGGAUAGCAUUUAAGAGUACAAUAGCUUUAUACUCUUCAGAAACUUUAUCACCGGCAUUAGUUAUGUCAUGUACCAACUUAUUAAAGGUGUCAAGACUAUCCUCUAGGUGUCAAGACUAUCCUCUAACUCCUUAGAGGGGUCAAUCCUAAAACUAAAGAAUUUUUCUAACAAAAACAAUUAGGUAAUGAUUUUACCAAAUAAAGCUUCUCUAACUCUUCCCACAAUUUUUUGGCAUCAUUAUGUUUACCAACUUUUCUCAAAACUUGAUCGGGCAAAUGCAAAAUGAUAGAGGUAUAUACAAGUUCAUCAGCUUCAUUCCUUUGAUCAGUUGUCAUAGCUUCAACUUUAGAGAACUUUUUGUUGGACUAAAAGACCUUUCAUUUUUUGUUGCCAAAUGAAAAAAUCUCAUUUUCCAUAAAAAACACCAAGUUCAAAAGAAAUACUUGUCAUUUUUAAUCAAGAAAUAACACACAGUAUUUCAAAAAAUUUAAAAAACUAGACAGCUAAUCGACUUUUGAACAAUACUAGUGUUUUGACCUUCACAAAAAAUUAGAGGAAUUAAAGAUUACAUAAAAAUGCAGCAACAAUAUUAGAAUAUCACAGUUAUAUAUAUUGCAGUAAAGACACAAUCCCAAAGAUCAAAGGAAUAACAGACUAAUCACGAUUGUCACACAAGAUGAUCAAAUUCACAAGGAUUCCGUGAGAAUCGUGUUAUCAGGUCAAGACUCAAUUUGAAACAUCUCAAGAAAGCACAAUACCCAACCGUAUCGACCCCCCCCCAAGAUAGGUGCGCGGGAAGACGAAGGAGGAUUAUAGGGCAGAUGGUAUGCACCUUUCAUGAUCUAGGCGUCAUUGAUGUAUUCUACUUCUUCUCCUUCUUUCUCGAGUAGGUGACAAAGAUCCCAAGAAUUAUAGUUACACCACAUAAAUGAGUAUAACGUGAGGAAAGCAAUCAAGAAAUGUAUCAAAUAUAUCCUAACACAAAAAAUAAUGAAAGAAUGCUAUAAGUAUUGUUGAUUGCAAACCAGUGGGU
rnacentral:lncRNA from 1 species